rnacentral:misc_RNA from 1 species
UGGUGGAAUCAUAUACUUCAUGUUGGCCUUUUCUAUGUUCCCCCAGUGUCGGCUUGAUCACAUUUUCAAGGAUGAUACAUUUUCGGGUCACAUGGGAACCUUCUUCGACACAGUGUGGGGCUUAUUUAUGUAUAUAUUUGGACGCUCAUAUGUCUCCUUGACCGGUGCAGUGCUGCUAUUAAUAAUUGCAAUAUCCUUUGUGCCAUCCAAGGUGCCUUGGAAAAAGAAAGUGGUAAUUGGGAUUCUUCAUGUGUCUGCACACCUAGCUGCAGCUGUGAUUCUUAUGCUCUUGCUCGAAUUAGGCAUUGAG